rnacentral:lncRNA from 1 species
UAAAAUCUGUGAUGUGGCCCAAGGCUUGUUUCUCACCUUCUCACCAAGUCUCCGGCCUUUCUAUGCUGUUUCUUUCUAUGCUGUUUCAUACAUCAGCUCCUUUACCCUUCUUGUUCUCCCUUAGGCAUUACAAAAUUAAGUUAACUGUACUCUGCCCAGGGUGGCUGGCUCUCGACAUUGCCCUGAAUGCAUGUGCUGGUUCUGCUUCCCUGCCACUGGGUAGGACAUACUGUACACCUGGAAUAGCUUCUCCUUUCUCCCAGCCUAGCUGAAUAUUCCUCACCUUUAAACCCUAAAGAGAGACUCUCUCCACCACGAAGGCUUACACGUAACACUUUGUUCAAUUGUUUGUAACAGAAGCUCAACUACAUUAUUUUAACCAAAUAGGGGUUUGUUUUCUCACACACCAAGAAGUCCAGAAGCAGACAGCCCAGGACUCUUACAGCUGCUCAGGGAAAUCACCAAGGACCAGGCUGCUUCUAACAUCCUUAUCUGACAACCCCAGCGACUGGCUUCAGUCCUCAUGGUGGACAGAGUCGGACGAUGUGAAAUUUCUUCAUGCUGCUCAAAAUGGACCUAUAAUUGAGAGGCCAACUGGACCAUUUGACCUUGGCUGAAGGGGACACAGGAGUGCAGAAUGAAGUUUUGCCAUGAACGUAGAUCCUCCCUUACAAAUCCCUCCAUUUUCAAACCCGAGGUCAGAGCUUCUCUGGGCAGCCAGCCCCAGCCCUCAGGUGAACUCAGCACAGCCCUUCUGACUUACCCAGGAAGAUGGGAAAAGGCGAGAGUGAAGAAGCAAGAGAGAAUGAAAUGAAGAAGCCAAGUCUUCUCCUUCUUCCUUUCCCCUCCAGAGGAAAACCAUCUCAAGAGCCAGAAGUGGUAUAGGCCCCUAAGUCAAGCUUUUUCAAGCUCCACUUCUAAUGCUCCAUGCCUUAAAAAGUAUGACCCAAGACUGUCCCUGAACAUGGCUGAUCCACGGUAACAUCCUUCCUCCUGGGAUAGUCUCAGAGGUGCGUGAGGGGAGCACCAUGAACUUUCUCAACCUACAGGCCAACAUAUUUUAUUUUAUAUUCUUAUGUCACUAUCUCAGAACUUAAUAGCCACUGUAUGGCAAAAUAAAUAAUUGGGUUUUUGUGA